UAUAUCUGCUGACUAAUCUCGAGAUUUUGUGUAUUUUUGUUUUUGCAACAAUCGAGGCACCACUGUUUGUAGCGAUGGCCUUGUAACAAGUAUUGCUUCUCAUUGUGGCCGUGUAAACGUUGACGAAUGGAUCGACACGCGCUUGGAAACGUUAAUAUUAACCAACGCAAAAUUAAAAUUGUGUGAUUUCAUCGUAUUCUUAAUCACUAUCUUUUUUUAGAAAUUUUCUAAACGAAAUAAUAAUACGUAAUAUAUCGUAUACGUAAUAUCGAAUUGAAGGAACAUUCAUUUUUACGUUUUACUUCGAUUUGGAAAUAUCCUUUUAAUUAUCGAUUACGUUUCUUCUUCGACCAAUAAAAGUAUUUGGAGAUGCUUUUAAGAUGCUAAAAAAGAUACUACGAGUACUAAGAAACUCAAAUCCAGUUAUCCUAUUGCAAAUUAAUCUUGUUUCAAAUGAAAUCUAAUUAAUUUUCUAAAAGAUUGUCGAUUUAUGCUACUUCGACAAUUUAAUUAACGGUAUCAAUUUCGGUGAAAUGCAUUUUACCUUCGUGGAAUUCGUAUCGGUAUUAUGAAUGCAUGAAAGUCUGGCUCACCCACCGAAUAACCACAAAAUACAAGUGACACACGAAGGGUUACGAAGCGUCACGAAGUGACCCGAAUAAGGUUCUACGGGACGUUAAUAAGUAUAUGUAUACUAACCACGACCUCAUUC